UACGUAGGGUGCAAGCGUUAAUCGGAAUUACUGGGCGUAAAGCGUGCGCAGGCGGUUUUGUAAGUCUGUCGUGAAAUCCCCGGGUUUAACCUGGGAAUGGCGAUGGAGACUGCAAGGCUAGAGUUUGGCAGAGGGGGGUAGAAUUCCACGUGUAGCAGUGAAAUGCGUAGAGAUGUGGAGGAACACCGAUGGCGAAGGCAGCCCCCUGGGUCAAAACUGACGCUCAUGCACGAAAGCGUGGGGAGCAAACAGG
rnacentral:rRNA from 1 species